rnacentral:rRNA from 1 species
ACCAAACAGCUAGCUCAACCUAAAGAGUCAAAUUAACAACAUAAACAACUCUACAUAAAAUUUAAACCCCAAAACUAAACCAUUCGACCACCCCAGUAUGGGCGACAAAAAAGGACCUAUGAAGCUAUAGACAAAGUACCGCAAGGGAAAGCUGAAAGAGAACUGAAAUAACGCACUUAAGUACAUAAAAGCAGAGAUUUUAUCUCGUACCUUUUGCAUCAUGAUCUAGCCAGUACACCCAAGCAAAGAGACCUCUAGUUUGAAACCCCGAAACCGGACGAGCUACUCCGGGACAGCCUAUUUAGGGCCAACCCGUCUCUGUGGCAAAAGAGUGGGAAGAUCCCCGAGUAGAGGUGAAAGACCUACCGAGUCAGGUUAUAGCUGGUUACCCAAGAAAUGAAUAGAAGUUCAGCCCCGACAUGCCCCUAUCCACAAUAGUUUUACUCAAACUAGGUACUUAGAGACACUUUCGGGAGUUAGUUGGGGGAGGUACAGCUCCCCCAACAAAGGACACAACCUUAAACAGGAGGCUAAAGAAUAUAUUAAAACAAGGCUACAGGUUUCAGUGGGCCUAAAAGCAGCCAUCUGAACAGAAAGCGUUAAAGCUCAGACCAAAUUAAGCCUGAUAUAACAUUACAUACAUCCGACGCCCCUAAUAUUACUGGGCCGCCCUAUGCACCCAUAGGAGAGACCAUGCUAGAACGAGUAACAAGAAGAAUGAACUUCUCCCUGCACAUGUGUAAGUCGGAUCGGACUAACCACCGACAAUUAACGAACCCAAUAACAGAGGGUCCUACGCCCCUGCCACCCCGGGCCAAGAAAACCACGUAUCUUCGUAUCGUUACCCCCACACAGGAGUGCUAAACUAGGGAAAGACUAAAAGGAUAAAAAGGAACUCGGCAAGCCAAAACCCCGCCUGUUUACCAAAAACAUCGCCUCCUGCCCCUAAUAAUAUAGGAGGUCCCGCCUGCCCCGUGACCAAAAGUUUAACGGCCGCGGUAUUUUAACCGUGCAAAGGUAGCGCAAUCAAUUGUCUUUUAAAUGAAGACCUGUAUGAAUGGCAUAACGAGGGUUUAACUGUCUCUUUUUCCCAGUCAAUGAAACUGAUCUGCCCGUGCAGAAGCGAGCAUAACUAUACAAGACGAGAAGACCCUAUGGAGCUUUAGACGCCCACCAACCAUGAAAAGCAACCCCUCAACUGGGCCUCAAACAACAUGACACUGGCACAAACGUCUUCGGUUGGGGCGACCACGGGAGAAAGUAAAGCUCCCGAGCGGAUUAGGGCCACCCUAAAACCCAGAGUCACACCUCUAAGUCACAGAACAUUUGACCAAGAAUGAUCCGGCCAUAGGCCGAUCAACGAACCAAGUUACCCUAGGGAUAACAGCGCAAUCCCCUCCCAGAGUCCAUAUCGACGAGGGGGUUUACGACCUCGAUGUUGGAUCAGGACAUCCUAAUGGUGCAGCCGCUAUUAAGGGUUCGUUUGUUCAACGAUUAAAGUCCUACGUGAUCUGAGUUCAGACCGGAGUAAUCCAGGUCAGUUUCUAUCUGUAAUGCCACCCUUCCUAGUACGAAAGGACCGGAGCGAUGAGGCCCAUGCUCAAAGUACGCCUCCCCCCAACCUGUUGAAAACAACUGAACCAGGCAAAGGGGGGCAAUCCCCGGCCCAAGAGAAGGGCG